AUACGCUCCCCCCAAUUUUUUCGUGUCGCAUUAGUUUCUUCUUCCCCAGAUUUCACUCUCUCUCUCUCUCUCUCUCUCUCUCUCUCACUCUCUAACCCAAAACCCUCUCUAGCUCUAUCUGACUCCAAAUCCCUCCGAUUCUGUCUAACUCGAAACCCUUUAUCAUUCUUUCUCAUCUAGAAAUCCUCUUGGUUCCCAGACCCUCUCACGACUGCAAUCUCAAGAAGAGGUGCCAUGUGAUUGGUUGAAGUUGUAGAAAAAGCUGGGUGAGAGGACGGUGGGAGAGAAGUAAAACCACCCACUUCACCCAUUUUCUCCAAUUAAAGCUUCUUUGGUACAUGUAAGUAUACUUAAUUUCCACUUGCAUUUAGGCCGAAGUUGUUAAGUUUCAGUUUUUUCAGAAAAUGUGACUACACACGCAUGUUGACUGUUAAUUUUGCACAGGUUGUGGGUUAGUUUUGAGGUAUAAUUACAUGGUUUUAAACUAUACAUAUCCAGGAUUGUAAUUUGGUUGAAGUUUGAUACCUGAGUUUGGUAAGUAUGACUACAAAAUCUGUCAAAAACAGGGGCUGCACUUUCAGAUGGUGGAGCAACAACAGUUUCCUAAAAGCUCAUGUCAAGACAUAAGUUGGUGGUUCAAUUGAUGAAUGUCAAGGAUCUUAGCAUAGCUCACGUCAAGAGCCAUCUUCAAGAGCAAGAAGAUGGAAGACUCCAAUCAAGCUGUUGUCGCAUGGAAGGGACGCCAAUGGUGAUCGAAGGUUUAUAAAGAGCCAUCCAUGUAUGAUAAAUUUUUAAUGACACUAGGAUCUAGUAAAUAUGUAAUAAUUUUAAAUGUAUUCAUACAUUUAAUUAUAUGGUUGUAUUUUAAAUUA